rnacentral:rRNA from 1 species
UACUGACCCGCUUGGGCAUCCAAGCGGUUCGAAAGCUCCGGCGGUGCAGGAUGAGCCCGCGGCCUAUCAGCUUGUUGGUGAGGUAAUGGCUCACCAAGGCGACGACGGGUAGCCGGCCUGAGAGGGCGACCGGCCACACUGGGACUGAGACACGGCCCAGACUCCUACGGGAGGCAGCAGUGGGGAAUAUUGCACAAUGGGCGAAAGCCUGAUGCAGCGACGCCGCGUGAGGGAUGACGGCCUUCGGGUUGUAAACCUCUUUCAGCAGGGAAGAAGCGAAAGUGACGGUAACUGCAGAAGAAGCGCCGGCUAACUACGUGCCAGCAGCCGCGGUAAUACGUAGGGUUCGAGCGUUGUCCGGAAUUAUUGGGCGUAAAGAGCUCGUAGGCGGCUUGUCACGUCGGUUGUGAAAGCCCGGGGCUUAACCCCGGGUCUGCAGUCGAUACGGGCAGGCUAGAGUUCGGUAGGGGAGAUCGGAAUUCCUGGUGUAGCGGUGAAAUGCGCAGAUAUCAGGAGGAACACCGGUGGC